GUGGGGAAUAUUGGACAAUGGGCGAAAGCCUGAUCCAGCCAUGCCGCGUGUGUGAAGAAGGUCUUCGGAUUGUAAAGCACUUUAAGUUGGGAGGAAGGGCAGUAAGUUAAUACCUUGCUGUUUUGACGUUACCGACAGAAUAAGCACCGGCUAACUCUGUGCCAGCAGCCGCGGUAAUACAGAGGGUGCAAGCGUUAAUCGGAAUUACUGGGCGUAAAGCGCGCGUAGGUGGUUCGUUAAGUUGGAUGUGAAAGCCCCGGGCUCAACCUGGGAACUGCAUCCAAAACUGGCGAGCUAGAGUACGGUAGAGGGUGGUGGAAUUUCCUGUGUAGCGGUGAAAUGCGUAGAUAUAGGAAGGAACACCAGUGGCGAAGGCGACUACCUGGACUGAUACUGACACUGAGGUGCGAAAGCGUGGGGAGCAAACAGGAUUAGAAACCCCUGUAGUCC
rnacentral:rRNA from 1 species